rnacentral:rRNA from 1 species
CCUGCUUUUGUGGGGUGCUCGAGUGGCGAACGGGUGAGUAACACGUGAGUAACCUGCCCUUGACUUUGGGAUAACUUCAGGAAACUGGGGCUAAUACCGGAUAGGAGCUCCUGCUGCAUGGGGGGGGUUGGAAAGUUUCGGCGGUUGGGGAUGGACUCGCGGCUUAUCAGCUUGUUGGUGGGGUAGUGGCUUACCAAGGCUUUGACGGGUAGCCGGCCUGAGAGGGUGACCGGCCACAUUGGGACUGAGAUACGGCCCAGACUCCUACGGGAGGCAGCAGUGGGGAAUAUUGCACAAUGGGCGGAAGCCUGAUGCAGCAACGCCGCGUGCGGGAUGACGGCCUUCGGGUUGUAAACCGCUUUCGCCUGUGACGAAGCGUGAGUGACGGUAAUGGGUAAAGAAGC